rnacentral:miRNA from 1 species
UGGUCCCCACAUGGGCCUCACCUUAAACCGGUGACGCUGGUCCCCACCUGGGCCUCACCUGGACCUGGUGACUGUGGUCCCCACCUGGGCCUCA